rnacentral:rRNA from 1 species
ACCUUGGUGCUUAUAGCGUAAUGGAACCACUCCGAUCCAUCCCGAACUCGGUCGUGAAACAUUACAGCGGCGAUGAUACUUAAGGAGUCGUCCUUUGGGAAAGUAGCACGGUGCCAAGGUUAUAUUUAUUUUUAUAGCUUUAAUUA